rnacentral:rRNA from 1 species
GACGAACGCUGGCGGCGUGCUUAACACAUGCAAGUCGAACGGUGAAGCUCCAGCUUGCUGGAGUGGAUCAGUGGCGAACGGGUGAGUAACACGUGAGCAACCUGCCCCUGACCCUGGAAUAAGCGCUGGAAACGGCGUCUAAUACUGGAUACGAGAAGGGUCCGCAUGGGCACUUUCUGGAAAGUUUUUCGGUUGGGGAUGGGCUCGCGGCCUAUCAGCUUGUUGGUGAGGUAAUGGCUCACCAAGGCGACGACGGGUAGCCGGCCUGAGAGGGCGACCGGCCACACUGGGACUGAGAUACGGCCCAGACUCCUACGGGAGGCAGCAGUGGGGAAUAUUGCACAAUGGGCGAAAGCCUGAUGCAGCGACGCCGCGUGAGGGAUGACGGCCUUCGGGUUGUAAACCUCUUUCAGCAGGGAAGAAGCGAAAGUGACGGUACCUGCAGAAGAAGCACCGGCUAACUACGUG